AUGCCGUCCGUCAGUCGAGAUCAAUGUGUGUGCACGAACACAGAUGCAUGGACGAGCAUGGACCCAGCGCUUGCCGAGGAGCUUCUUGACGAAGAUCGCCGUGAGCAGCGAGUAGGCUGUGCAGAAGAAGUUGGUCGCCACGAAUGCCCUGCUCACCCACGAAACAAGAACAGGUCAGACAUCGAUUCGCUGGUUGCAGAAGCAGACGGGAGAUCGAGAUCGAUCGAUCUAAUUAACGAAUCAACGAAGGAAGGGGCAUGCACUAGCUGCAUGGCGAGAGAUACGUACACCCAGACGUCGAACAUGGUGAAGUUGACCUCGACCCCCCAGCGCUCCUGCCGGUUGGUGACGACGAGGACGGCGGCGGCCAGCGACGCGACGGCGGCCCCGACACGCAGCGCCACGGUGGCCGUGACGUGCUUCGCAGAGGCCACCUCCAUCGUCGCCGCGUCCUGCGACUCCAGUUCCACCAUGGUGACGGAGGCGCGACGAGUCAUGUGCGGCGGAUGA
rnacentral:rRNA from 1 species